GACGAACGCUGGCGGCGUGCUUAACACAUGCAAGUCGAACGGUGAUGCUCCAGCUUGCUGGAGUGGAUCAGUGGCGAACGGGUGAGUAACACGUGAGCAACCUGCCCCAGACUCUGGAAUAAGCGCUGGAAACGGCGUCUAAUACUGGAUACGAAACUGGCCCGCAUGGGCAUGGUUUGGAAAGUUUUUCGGUUUGGGAUGGGCUCGCGGCCUAUCAGCUUGUUGGUGGGGUAAUGGCUCACCAAGGCGGCGACGGGUAGCCGGCCUGAGAGGGCGACCGGCCACACUGGGACUGAGACACGGCCCAGACUCCUACGGGAGGCAGCAGUGGGGAAUAUUGCACAAUGGGCGAAAGCCUGAUGCAGCGACGCCGCGUGAGGGAUGACGGCCUUCGGGUUGUAAACCUCUUUCAGCAGGGAAGAAGCGAAAGUGACGGUACCUGCAGAAGAAGCACCGGCUAACUACGUG
rnacentral:rRNA from 1 species